CAGAACAGCUUCUCUGUCCCCAGUAUCCUCAUUACAUUGACACCUUUGUCAGACUUAAUAAUCUGCACACACAGUGAAUGAAUGAGAGACACCAUGGGGGUCAUUCCGAGUUGAUCGCAGCCAGCAACUUUUUGCUGCUGCUGUGAUCACCUAAUCCCCACCUACGGGGGAGUGUAUUUUAGCAUAGCAGGGCUGCGAUCGCUUGUGCAGCGAUGAAGGUCCCGGUCCUGAUGUCAGACAUCCGCCCUCCGUUCACCUGGACACGCCUGCGUUCUUCUUACCACUCCCCGAAAACUGCCUCCAAUGGACCACCAACCCGAGGAACCCCUGCAAGACCCUCGCGGCCAGUGCCAGAUUAAACCCUGUGGAGGCCCCUAGGCAGUUGAGAUCUCGGAGCCCCCCUCAAACCAGAGAUAAAGACAGAAUGAGCUAGAUAGAUGCAAAGGUGACAGAACCUACCUUACACACAUACUAGCAACAAAGGAUCUACAAUAUGAUGCUCAAUGGGGGAACACCUCUUCAGGGAUGUUUGGACUCAACAAAGCGGGAUUAUUGCUCAAGAACAACAAAAUUCUUGGCUACUUGGUCUGACUACCUCUGAAUGAGCCACCUUCAACAAAAGUCUGCACAAGGCGAUGGCCCACCAACCAUCAAGUGAGGACUGAAACAAGAUGGAUUACAAAAUAGUUUCUACACUUUAAAUCUAGGGCAAGUCCAAAAUGACAUGUGGGAACCCUAGAAAAACUUGACUUGAACAGAACAAGCAGCAGAGUGUCAUGAUGGAUUAUAGUUCUGAGGUACAAGAGGACAGUGUUCGGGGGAACCACAGAAAGAUUCAUGUCUGGACUCUAUCUUGCUCCCAGCAAGUCAAAAGCAGGGCAGAGAGAGGUGGUCCAAACAAGAGAAAGAACUGUACAGUGCCCUUCACCUGAAAUCAAAUGGAGACAAACUGUGUAGCAUACUCCCUUACACCGAGGCUAUGGAGUGAAGCAAGAGGUCAUCUCCAGAUAAUAAAAUUCCCCCAACUGCCUCUGAGCCCAAGAGAGGCCUCAUCUGAGAUAAGACUAUUUCCCACCUUUGUAAAAGGCAGCAAAGAGCCCAAGAACAAUCCAUGAUGCUAAGGGGAGUAAAGUGACAGUCAACCCAAUCAAAUUCAAAGCAUAAGUAGCCUCUUCAUUAGGUACACAUUUAUUGUACUGGGUAGGAUUAUCCCUUUUCUCCCAGACCCACCUGAUUUCUUCACAGCAUGGAUGCGGCAUGGUGUUGGAAACAUUCCAUGGUGACAUGACAGAAUCACACAGUUGCUGGAGAUUUGUCAGCUGCAAAUUCAUACUGCAAAGCUCCCAUUACAUCAUAUCCAAAAUGUGCUCGCCAUUAGAAGAUGGAUACACUGUGUGUGAGGACCACAUGAGAUCCGUAGCUUCUGAGAUACUCAAACCAAGGCACAAACAAUCAUUUAUAGGACAAAGUGUUUAUAUCAGAUAUUUAUGCUAAUGCCAUCACCUGAGUCUCUGUACACAGAUACUGUGUGAUAAUAUGCAAAAUGUCGCUAGUAUUUGUAUUGAGACGCCCACCAGCACAUUUGCAAGUCCAAAGACGCAGAAUCGGAUGAUUACUGGCCUUCUCAGUACCCCAAUGGGCACUCAGAAUGGCCAGUGGAACUAAGACACUGGUGCCAGUGAGGCUGCAUACAACGCAGUCACUGGCUCUAACAUGCCUAUAAAAUGGUUGCAACACACCAUCGUUUUUCUAAUAACCCCCUCCCCCGUUACCUCUCGGACUUGCUUCAGUCACCAUGCUUCGGGCAAGGUGCCCUGCUUUGCUACCGACGUGCUUGCCACAGGUUAUUAUUCCCAAUCGCAGUCUAUGUGGAUGGCACUGUCUACCUUUUACCUGUUGACCUUUGACUAUGUCGUCCUAAUGCAUGUUGACCAUAUGGUGUCGACCUAUUAACUGUCAACCUACAAAUUGGAACCCUCUCGGAAUCAGGAUGUAGCAGGAGAUUUAUCAAAGAUUAAAGAUAAAGCAGAGCGAGAGAUAAAGAACCAUCAAAUCAAUUUUUAACUGUCAAUUUAAAAGGCUGUGUUUAAAAAAAUGACAGGCGUUGAUUGGUUGAUACUUUGGGGGAGAUGUAAUAAGCAGUGAAAAGAGUGGACAAGUGAGCCAAUGUAGAAGUUGUCCAUCGCAACCAAUUAGCUGCUCUGUAUAAUUUUAUAGUACACAAAUUAUAAAUGUUACUUCAAUGCUGAUUGGUUGCCAUGGGCAACUUCUCCACUGGUUCACUUCUUCACUCUUAUCACUGCUUAGUACAUCUCUGUCUUUAUCUCUCUCCACGCAUUGAUAAAUCUCCCCCAUAGUCACUUAGAACGUAUUUCUUCUCCAUUUCUCAGUGUUUGAUCUGAGCAACAAUGGAACCUCUUGGCCAUAUCUGUGUGUUUUUAUACUUUGCAUUGCUGUUAUGUAAAUAUACUGUAUAUACCUUCUUCCGCUCUGGUUCUUAAAGGUAUCAUCUCAGGUUCUUCUUAGAUAAGCUGGUUUUUAUUAUAUUAAAUGUAUGCAUUUUUAAUUUAUGUUUAUGGAAAUAAAAUUGUCCAUACGUAUUAAAAUAUU